rnacentral:rRNA from 1 species
AUUGAACGCUGGCGACAUGCCUUACACAUGCAAGUCGAACGGCAGCACGGGUGCUUGCACCUGGUGGCGAGUGGCGAACGGGUGAGUAAUACAUUGGAACAUGUCCUGUAGUGGGGGAUAGCCCGGCGAAAGCCGGAUUAAUACCGCAUACGAUCUACGGAUGAAAGCGGGGGACCUUCGGGCCUCGCGCUAUAGGGUUGGCCGAUGGCUGAUUAGCUAGUUGGUGGGGUAAAGGCCUACCAAGGCGACGAUCAGUAGCUGGUCUGAGAGGACGACCAGUCACACUGGGACUGAGACACGGCCCAGACUCCUACGGGAGGCAGCAGUGGGGAAUUUUGGACAAUGGGCGAAAGCCUGAUCCAGCAAUGCCGCGUGUGUGAAGAAGGCCUUCGGGUUGUAAAGCACUUUUGUCCGGAAAGAAAUCCUUGGCCCUAAUACGGUCGGGGGAUGACGGUACCGGAAGAAUAAGCACCGGCUAACUACGUG